UGGCGGCGCGCCUAACACAUGCAAGUCGAACGGAGCUUAGAGAGCUUGCUUUUUAAGCUUAGUGGCGAACGGGUGAGUAACGCGUGAGUAACCUGCCCUAGAGUGGGGGACAACAGUUGGAAACGACUGCUAAUACCGCAUAAGCCCACGGUACCGCAUGGUACUGAGGGAAAAGGAAUUAUUCGCUUUAGGAUGGACUCGCGUCCAAUUAGCUAGUUGGUGAGGUAACGGCCCACCAAGGCGACGAUUGGUAGCCGGACUGAGAGGUUGAACGGCCACAUUGGGACUGAGACACGGCCCAGACUCCUACGGGAGGCAGCAGUGGGGGAUAUUGCACAAUGGGGGAAACCCUGAUGCAGCGACGCCGCGUGGAGGAAGAAGGUUUUCGGAUUGCAAACUCCUGUCGUUAGGGACGAUAAUGACGGUACCUAACAAGAAAGCACCGGCUAACUACGUGCCAGCAGCCGCGGUAAAACGUAGGGUGCUAGCGUUGUCCGGAAUUACUGGGUGUAAAGGGAGCGCAGGCGGGAAGACAAGUUGGAAGUGAAAACCAUGGGCUCAACCCGUGAAUUGCUUUCAAAACUGUUUUUCUUGAGUAGUGCAGAGGUAGAUGGAAUUCCCGGUGUAGCGGUGGAAUGCGUAGAUAUCGGGAGGAACACCAGUGGCGAAGGCGGUCUACUGGGCACCAACUGACGCUGAGGCUCGAAAGCAUGGGUAGCAAACAGGAUUAGAUACCCUGGUAGUCCAUGCCGUAAAC
rnacentral:rRNA from 1 species